GCAGUGGUGGUCCUCGCAGUGCGGGCGGGCCGCGGAUGCGAAGGUGACCCAGUGGGCAGUGAGGGUCAGGUACUCACGGCUCUGGGUGCCCGUCCAGAUUCCCGAUGUGAAGUGGACCAUGCCACUCUCAGCCUCCCUCAGCUGGGACAGGACCAUCUGCUUCACGCUGUCGUACAUGCCCGGGAUGGCCGUGCUGCAGAAGUAGGAGGGCGGGGGCACGGAGUACUGGGGCCUCAGGUACCCCAGCAGCCUGUUGAAGCCAGCGCUGUCCACGAGGGAGUAGGGCUGGAGGUCCAGUGCGAUCAUCUCUGCUAUCAGGCUGGUGAUUUUUUUGGCAACUGGGUGAGAGUCAUAGAACUUCUCACUGGGGUCAUCGAAGGAGGACGUGCCCGACAACUCUGUGCUCAGUGGUCCCCGGACUCCUGGAGAGCAGGACAGGGUGGUCUCCGGGUGGACAUCGGCCUUGAGCACGUGGCCGUGGAACCUCUGCAGGUGCCUCAGGAGGCAGCUGGWGCCCAGGUUGGUGGGCUUCUUGCCCCUGCUGAUGGUCCGGCCACAGUGCAGACACACCACCUUGGUGGAGUCCGCAGAGCAGACGGAGAAGUGGUUCCACAGCUUGGAGGUCUUCUUGCUGCUGACGGGAAACGCGGCCUGGUGGCUCCUCCUGACCACGGCGGGCAGGGCCGGCGUCCUGGAGGAGCAGCUUUCUGCAGAAGCCAAAGUGGCAUACGGAGAGUUCGCCAGACUGGCUCCCAGGAAGCCCUUCUGGGUCCCGACCACCUCGGGGUGGCGUCGGUACAGAUGCCGCAUCAAGCAGCUGGUGCCCACAUCCCCCUUCUUCCCCCGGCUGAUGACGCAGCCACAGUAGCGACACACGGCCUUCAGACUGUCCGUGGGGGCCAGGGAGAAGUGGUGCCAGACCUCCGACUUCAGUCUCUUCAUGACCUUCUUGUUCUGCUGGAAGACGGCACCAGGCUCGCACCUCCUCGGGCUCGACCCGCUGGCCUGCUGCUUCUCAGGAGAGGUGCCCAUAGAAGCCUCGCCCACGUCCUGGAAGGACUACAGCCGGACAUGUCCCAGCAGAGUGGGUCCCCAGGCAGGUCCUCAGCCAGCCUGUCUGGGGACGAGGAGGCCCAGGGGCACUCUUGGACCAGCUUUCCUGGAGAGGAGGACAUGGAGUCCGGCUCCCCGUCUGGAGGCAGCAGGGUGGGCAGCAGGGUGGGGGGCGUGGGGUACAGGGGCGGGAUGCCCGAGCCGCCCCCGUUUUCCUGUAGCACGAUGGAGCGGUGUGCUCUCCACAUGUGCCGGAUGAGGCAGCUGGUGCCCAGGUCCUUCCCGUUCUUGCCCCUGCUGAACUCGUUCAUGCAGUGCACGCAGACGGCCUUGGAGCUGUCCAGCGGGGACAGGUAG
rnacentral:lncRNA from 1 species